CCUACGGGAGACAGCAGUGAGGAAUAUUGGUCAAUGGGCGUAAGCCUGAACCAGCCAAGCCGCGUGAGGGAUGAAGGUUCUAUGGUUCGUAAACCUCUUUUAUAAGGGAAUAAAAUGUGGGACGUGUCCUAUUUUGCAUGUACCUUAUGAAUAAGGAUCGGCUAACUCCGUGCCAGCAGCCGCGGUAAUACGGAGGAUCCGAGCGUUAUCCGGAUUUAUUGGGUUUAAAGGGUGCGUAGGCGGCCUUUUAAGUCAGCGGUGAAAGUCUGUGGCUCAACCAUAGAAUGGCCUUUGAAACUGGGGGGCUUGAGUAUGGUUGAGGCAGGCGGAAUGCGUGGUGUAGCGGUGAAAUGCGUAGAUAUCACGCAGAACCCCGAUUGCGAAGGCAGCCUGCCAAGCCAUGACUGACGCUGAGGCACGAAAGCGUGGGGAUCAAACAGGAUUAGAUACCCCAGUAGUC
rnacentral:rRNA from 1 species